rnacentral:lncRNA from 1 species
CUUUUCUAUUAAAAAUAGGCUAUUAUCAUACAAAAGCGAUCGUACAGACCCAGCCUCGAGCUAUGUCACUUCACUGCAAAACACAAACAGAUACACUGAAUCCGACUUUUUAGGGGAUUCUGUAAUCCAAUUAAAAUGAUCUGUUAGGCACCUUUUGGGUGAAAGUCAGUGGAGGAUACAGGAUGAAAACGACAGGCUGCCCUUGUCGAAGCGUCUCCUGCACAGCAGUUAAGAGUGGAAACCUGAGGGAAAGAAGGUGGGAGGCGCUCUGGGCGCUGAGGGGAAGGAACGGGCGGGUCCAAGGAGUGGUAGGAGCAACGCUUCCUGGCAAGGGAGAUGCCUGCCGCGGGCCCUGCAGGACCAGGAGUGUGAGAGGCGUCCUCUGUUCCAUGACCGUGUGGUUUUCACACGGUUCUACCUGAUCAAGUCCUAGAAACACCAUGAGCUCUGGUGGAAGUACAGGCUGCGGGCUCAGGUCACGUGGAAAGUGCUCCCUUAUCCUUAUUUCUGCCUUCUGCAUGAACCUGAUGAUCUCAGCACGGC